rnacentral:rRNA from 1 species
GACGAACGCUGGCGGCGUGCUUAACACAUGCAGGUCGAACGGAAAGGCCCUUCGGGGUCCUCGAGUGGCGAACGGGUGAGUAACACGUGGGUGAUCUGCCCUGCACUUUGGGAUAAGCCUGGGAAACUGGGUCUAAUACCGAAUAGGACCACGCGCUUCAUGGUGUGUGGUGGAAAGCUUUUGCGGUGUGGGAUGGGCCCGCGGCCUAUCAGCUUGUUGGUGGGGUAAUGGCCUACCAAGGCGACGACGGGUAGCCGGCCUGAGAGGGUGACCGGCCACACUGGGACUGAGAUACGGCCCAGACUCCUACGGGAGGCAGCAGUGGGGAAUAUUGCACAAUGGGCGCAAGCCUGAUGCAGCGACGCCGCGUGAGGGAUGACGGCCUUCGGGUUGUAAACCUCUUUCAAUAGGGACGAAGCGCAAGUGACGGUACCUAUAGAAGAAGCACCGGCCAACUACGUG